AGUCACUGACAUUAGAUACCCGGGUAGUCCAGGGUGUAAACGCUGCAGACUUGGUGUUGGAACCCGUUCGGGGGUGCUCAGUGCCGGAGAGAAGUUGUUAAGUCUGCUACUUGGGAGUACGUCCGCAAGGAUGAAACUUAAAGGAAUUGGCGGGGGAGCACCGCAACGGGAGGAGCGUGCGGUUUAAUUGGAUUCAACACCGUAAAACUCACCAGGGAAGACUGUUACAUGAAGGCCGAGAUGAAGACUCUGCUAGAUUUUCAG
rnacentral:rRNA from 1 species